ACAGCCAUUUCCUUCACUGCAGCCAGACUGCUUCAUUCGUGUAGACUGUCCAGAGUCCACGAAUACCGCUCAGCUUUUCUUCACCCUCACCACUAAUUCAAGUGAAGACCUUACACAGUAAAGCAGCACAUCUGAAAAACAGCCACAUUCCAACAGCCUCUCCUGGUCCUGCUCAGACAUGUUGCUCCAUAGCUUUGGGCUUGAGCCACUCUCCUGCCACGCCUGGAACAAAGAUAGGACUCAAAUUGCUGUGAGUCCUAACAACAAUGUGGUGAACAUUUAUGAGAAGAAAGGCAAAGACUGGCAUAAGAUUCACGAGCUGACUGAGCACAGUGGACGCAUCACAGGUACUGUUACCACCAGGGGUGA